GUUUUCAGAGUGUAGAUGUUCAUGUUACAGCAAAAACUUUGAUCGCAAAAUUUGAGGAAAUGUGGAUGCAACUUCUGACUAAAGUUACUGUAUAGGAAAAGAGGCUAGAAGAGGAAGAUGCAGAAGCACAGUUAAAUAUGGAGCUCACUAAAGGGGCUGAUCAUGCUAAAAUGGCUAGAAACUUACGCAACAAGUUGAUGUCCAUCACAUUCAAGAGCAAAUGAGGUCCUCACCAGCACAGAAGAAGCCUCACAAGCUAAGAACUAACCACGUGUAAUUUGUUUAUAAACAUCAUCUUUGGUUAGGAACUUAGGAUGCCAAGUUUUUGAAAAUUGUAAAAAUGCAUAUGGAUGGCUUGGUUAGAAUGCCAGCUCCUGCUGAAACUUCCAAUUUUUGAAAUAUGUAUAUAUGCUGGUCUGAU